CCUACGGGAGGCAGCAGUGAGGAAUAUUGGUCAAUGGUCGGGAGACUGAACCAGCCAAGCCGCGUGAGGGAGGAAGGUACAGAGUAUCGUAAACCUCUUUUGUCAGGGAACAAAGACUGGGACGCGUCCCCGGAUGAGUGUACCUGAAGAAAAAGCAUCGGCUAACUCCGUGCCAGCAGCCGCGGUAAUACGGAGGAUCCGAGCGUUAUCCGGAUUUAUUGGGUUUAAAGGGUGCGCAGGCGGUGUGUUAAGUUAGCGGUGAAAUGCCGGGGCUCAACCCCGGAACCGCCGUUGAUACUGGCAGUCUCGAGUUGGAGUGAGGUAUGCGGAAUGCGCGGUGUAGCGGUGAAAUGCAUAGAGAUCGCGCAGAACUCCGAUUGCGAAGGCAGCAUGCCGGCUCCACACUGACGCUGAGGCACGAAAGCGUGGGUAUCGAACAGGAUUAGAUACCCCAGUAGUC
rnacentral:rRNA from 1 species